rnacentral:rRNA from 1 species
CUACGUGCCAGCAGCCGCGGUAAUACGUAGGUCCCGAGCGUUGUCCGGAUUUAUUGGGCGUAAAGCGAGCGCAGGCGGUUUGAUAAGUCUGAAGUUAAAGGCUGUGGCUCAACCAUAGUUCGCUUUGGAAACUGUCAAACUUGAGUGCAGAAGGGGAGAGUGGAAUUCCAUGUGUAGCGGUGAAAUGCGUAGAUAUAUGGAGGAACACCGGUGGCGAAAGCGGCUCUCUGGUCUGUAACUGACGCUGAGGCUCGAAAGCGUGGGGAGCGAACAGGAUUAGAUACCCUGGUAGUCCACGCCGUAAACGAUGAGUGCUAGGUGUUGGAUCCUUUCCGGGAUUCAGUGCCGCAGCUAACGCAUUAAGCACUCCGCCUGGGGAGUACGACCGCAAGGUUGAAACUCAAAGGAAUUGACGGGGGCCCGCACAAGCGGUGGAGCAUGUGGUUUAAUUCGAAGCAACGCGAAGAACCUUACCAGGUCUUGACAUCCCGAUGCUAUUUCUAGAGAUAG